GACGAACGCUGGCGGCGUGCUUAACACAUGCAAGUCGAACGCUGAAGACCUGGCUUUUGUUGGGUUGGAUGAGUGGCGAACGGGUGAGUAACACGUGAGUAACCUGCCCUCUUCUUUGGGAUAACGCCCGGAAACGGGUGCUAAUACUGGAUAUUCACUGAUCUUCGCAUGGGGGUUGGUGGAAAGGUUUGUUCUGGUGGGGGAUGGGCUCGCGGCCUAUCAGCUUGUUGGUGGGGUGAUGGCCUACCAAGGCUUUGACGGGUAGCAGGCCUGAGAGGGUGACCGGUCACAUUGGGACUGAGAUACGGCCCAGACUCCUACGGGAGGCAGCAGUGGGGAAUAUUGCACAAUGGGCGAAAGCCUGAUGCAGCGACGCCGCGUGAGGGAGGGAGGCCUUCGGGUUGUAAACCUCUUUCGCUCAUGGUCAAGCCGCAACUGUGGGUUGUGGUGAGGGUAGUGGGUAAAGAAGCGCCGGCUAACUACGUG
rnacentral:rRNA from 1 species